rnacentral:misc_RNA from 1 species
AAGUCGUAACAAGGUUUCCGUAGGUGAACCUGCGGAAGGAUCAUUAGUGAAUUGCUCUCUGAGCGUUAACUACAUCCAUCUACACCUGUGAACUGUUGAUUGACUUCGGUCAAUUACUUUUACAAACAUUGUGUAAUGAACGUCAUGUUAUUAUAACUAAAAAUAACUUUCAACAACGGAUCUCUUGGCUCUC